rnacentral:rRNA from 1 species
UACAGGGGGUGCAAACGUUGCUCGGAAUCAUUGGGCGUAAAGCGCACGUAGGCGGUUCGUUAUGUCGGAUGUGAAAGCCCUUGGCUUAACCGAGGAAGUGCAUCCGAAACUGGCGAGCUAGAGUACUAAAGAGGAUCGCGGAAUUCCCGGUGUAGAGGUGAAAUUCGUAGAUAUCGGGAGGAACACCGGUGGCGAAGGCGGCGACCUGGGUAGAUACUGACGCUGAGGCGCGAAAGCGUGGGGAGCAAACGGG